GCGUGAGGGAUGACGGCCUUCGGGUUGUAAACCUCUUUCAGCAGGGAAGAAGCUUUUGUGACGGUACCUGCAGAAGAAGCACCGGCUAACUACGUGCCAGCAGCCGCGGUAAUACGUAGGGUGCGAGCGUUGUCCGGAAUUAUUGGGCGUAAAGAGCUUGUAGGCGGUUUGUCGCGUCUGCUGUGAAAAUUCAGGGCUUAACCCUGGACGUGCAGUGGGUACGGGCAGACUAGAGUGUGGUAGGGGAGACUGGAAUUCCUGGUGUAGCGGUGGAAUGCGCAGAUAUCAGGAGGAACACCGAUGGCGAAGGCAGGUCUCUGGGCCAUUACUGACGCUGAGAAGCGAAAGCAUGGGGAGCGAACAGGAUUAGAUACCCUGGUAGUCCAUGCCGUAAACGUUGGGCGCUAGGCGUGGGCCUCAUUCCACGAGGUCCGUGUCGAAGCUAACGCAUUAAGCGCCCCGCCUGGGGAGUACGGCCGCAAGGCUAAAACUCAAAGGAAUUGACGGGGGCCCGCACAAGCGGCGGAGCAUGCUGAUUAAUUCGAUGCAACGCGAAGAACCUUACCAAGGCUUGACAUGCACCGGACAGCCCCAGAGAUGGGGUCUUCUUCGGACUGGUGCACAGGUGGUGCAUGGUUGUCGUCAGCUCGUGUCGUGAGAUGUUGGGUUAAGUCCCGCAACGAGCGCAACCCUCGUUCUAUGUUGCCAGCACGUAAUGGUGGGGACUCAUAGGAGACUGCCGGGGUCAACUCG
rnacentral:rRNA from 1 species